rnacentral:rRNA from 1 species
GAUGAACGCUAGCUACAGGCUUAACACAUGCAGGUCGAGGGGAAACGAUAUUGGAAGCUUGCUUCCGAUAGGCGUCGACCGGCGCACGGGUGAGUAACGCGUAUCCAACCUGCCCACCACUUGGGGAUAACCUUGCGAAAGUAAGACUAAUACCCAAUGAUAUCUCUAGAAGUCAUCUGAAGGAGAUUAAAGAUUCAUCGGUGAUGGAUGGGGAUGCGUCUGAUUAGCUUGUUGGCGGGGUAACGGCCCACCAAGGAGACGAUCAGUAGGGGUUCUGAGAGGAAGGUCCCCCACAUGGGAACUGAGGCACGGUCCAAACUCCUACGGGAGGCAGCAGUGAGGAAGAUUGGUCAAUGGGCGAGAGCCUGAACCAGCCAAGUAGCGUGCAGGAUGACGGCCCUAUGGGAUGUAAACUGCUUUUAUAAGGGAAUAAAGUGAGUCUCGUGAGACUUUUUGCAUGUACCUUAUGAAUAAGGACCGGCUAAUUCCGUGCCAGCAGCCGCGGUAA